rnacentral:pre_miRNA from 1 species
AGUAGAAUUUCUGGGUUGAAUGGUUAGUGUGUGUUUAACUUUAUAAGAAACUGCCAAAAUGUUUUUCAAAGUGGUUGUAUCAUUAUAUAUUCCUACUAGCAAU